CAUAAAAACAAGAUGAUGGAUAUAUACAGUCUAUGAUACUGCACAAAGCUGUCGCCGUCCGCCUAUAAAAGUUGUUUAGGCUAACGUGUUAGCGAAUAACAAGUGCUUAUAUUAACAUUCAGUAGACACGGAGCAACAUAAACAUUCAUUAGGAGUCGUGUUUCUGGCCACCGGAUGAAUUGUGAAAGGUGUUAGGUCCGGUGGGGAGUUGAAGGGCCCAGAGAAGCCCCUGAGGACCGUUCAACAGAAACCAUAUCAGGGGCAGACAAUUCACAUCUGCUGCCAUGUGACCGCGAAACCCAUUGUGAAAAUUAGUAUCAACAUGGACGGAGCUGCAGAGGAGUGGCGAACUGAGGGAGGACCAGCGAUAAAACAAACACACAGUCAACUCAACAAAGUAGGAAUUCAGUCACACAUGUCGUCAUGCAUAUAUUUAUUUUGAC